rnacentral:rRNA from 1 species
UCUGACCUCAAAUCAGGUAGGACUACCCGCUGAACUUAAGCAUAUCAAUAAGCGGAGGAAAAGAAACUAACAAGGAUUCCCCUAGUAACUGCGAGUGAAGCGGGAAAAGCUCAAAUUUGAAAUCUGGCAGUCUUUUUUUUCUUCUUUGGCUGUCGAGUUGUAAUCUAGAGAAGUGCUUACCUGCACUGGACCAUGUAUAAGUCUCCUGGAAUGGAGCGUCGCAGAGGGUGAGAAUCCCGUCUUUGACAUGGACUGCCAGUGUGUUGUGGUGUGCUCUCAAAGAGUCGAGUUGUUUGGGAAUGCAGCUCUAAAUGGGUGGUAAACUCCAUCUAAAGCUAAAUAUUGGCGAGAGACCGAUAGUGAACAAGUACCGUGAGGGAAAGAUGAAAAGGACUUUGGAAAGAGAGUUAAACAGUAUGUGAAAUUGUUGAAAGGGAAACGCUUGAAGUCAGUUAUGUUGGCUAGGGAUCAACCUAGCUACUUUUGCUGGGUGAAUUUCCUAGUCUUACAGGCCAACAUCAGUCUUGACUGCUAGAAAAGAGCAGAGGGAAUGUGGCACCUUUGGGUGUGUUAUAGCCCUUUGUCAUAUGUGGCAGUCGGGACUGAGGGAUGCAGCAUGCCGCGAGGCUGGGUUUCUGACCACGUUCAUGCUUAGGAUGUUGGCUUUUAAUGGCUUCAAUCGACCCGUCUUGAAACACGGACCAAGGAGUCUAACAUGCCUGCGAGUGUUUGGGUGGGGAAAACCCUUGUGCACAAUGAAAGUGAAAGUUGAGAUCCCUGUCAUGGGGAGCAUCGACGCCCGGACUUGAGCUUUUAGCGACGGAUCCGCGGUAGAGCAUGCAUGUUGGGACCCGAAAGAUGGUGAACUAUGCCUGAAUAGGGCAAAGCCAGAGGAAACUCUGGUGGAGGCUCGUAGCGAUUCUGACGUGCAAAUCGAUCGUCAAAUUUGGGUAUAGGGGCGAAAGACUAAUCGAACCAUCUAGUAGCUGGUUCCUGCCGAAGUUUCCCUCAGGAUAGCAGAAGCUCAUUAUCAGAUUUAUGUGGUAAAGCGAAUGAUUAGAGGCCUUGGGGUUGAAACAACCUUAACCUAUUCUCAAACUUUAAAUAUGUAAGAACGAGUUGUCACUUGAC